CCAUUUUCAGCGUUCUGCGACUCUGGGAGGUGUAUAUGAGGCUCUGUCUGCCUUAUUCUGUUCAGUGUCUGUGUGGCUGCUUUCCAUCAGGACUAUCUCCUUCUAAGUACAUUAAUGCAAAAGGGGCAGAUUUUGAUCUCAGAUAUAUCGAGAAGCUGCCUUCAAAAUCAAUGUACCAGACCAGCCGGAAGGAGCUAGCCACCUAACUACACAACCUGAUGACAUUUCCCAAACAAAAUCUUUCCAAAGUGGACCAAGUUCAGUUCCCAGGAGCUUUGGAUCAGGAAAACAUUCCUAGAUCCUGUGUUGGCAGAGGGACACCAUAUCCUGUACUGACACAGCAAUACCUUUUCCUACCCUGAGACCUGUCCUAACUAUGCUGACAACGUUCAUCAGCCUGUAAUUGUGUGGAUGACUGUGAGCUGGAGUGAUUGCCUGACAUCUCCUACCUCCCUACCUGGUUUAAGAGCUUUUCCUUUCCUGAUGAUGGGCAAAAUGCAGCUCUUGCAUUUCACCAGUUCAGACGAGAGAAGAGAUUGUAAGGGGUACAAUGAGAUAUUCAGUAGAUCUAAAUAUAGUCUUUUUUUUUUCCCCCUUUUAAAAAUAGUUUUAGUUUCUUCCCAUUGUCUCCUGCAUGAAGAAAUGCAGGAAUUUCAGUGAUGCAUUAUGAUAGUAAAAUUAUAAUGAAAUUGUCGAAUUCAUCACAUUUUGUCUUCAUCACCCAGUGCAGAAUGUCCUCAUAAAGUACUUAGCAGUGAAUUUAGGUCCAAGGUGUACAUGGCUGUUGAGUCUGAAUGGUUGCAUUUAUGUGAGUGUGGUGACUAAGAGCCCCAACCAUCAGCCAGGAUUCCUAUGAGCUACAAAUGAGUUUGUGAGCUUUUUCAGUUCCAUAUUUUUUUUUCCAGUAAAAGAACAAGUAUGUCUCUGACUAGUAUAAGCCAUAUUUUCAGAAUCUUUGAAAAUAGCCUCUAGAUCUCUUUAGCUUGGACUCCAGAGAACCUACACAAGCAUAUCCUUACAAAUCUCUAGACAAAUCUUAAACAAAAGCAAAUAGAAAAAGACAAAAACAUACAGAAAAAGACUCUGGGGUUUCCUGGGAAACAGAAUUUCUGUUUAAUGAGAAAUUUUGAUAAAAUGGAUAGACCACUUGAAAUUAUAAAGGAAAGUAUUAACAGUAAUGGGACUGGUGCUAUUUAAUAUCUUAAUUGGUGACAUUGACUGUGGGAUCAAGUGUACCCUCAGCAAGUCUGUGGAUGACACCAAGAUAUGUGGUGUUGUUGACAUUCUGGAGGGAUGGGUUACCAUCCAUACAGACCUAGACAAGCUUGAGAAGGGGGCCCAGGUGAAACUUAUGAGGUUCAACAAACACUACACAACUACAUGUUCUUGUACUCGGGUUGUGGCAAUCACUACUACUUAUACAAGCUGAGGGACAAAAGGGUAGGGCACAUCCCUGCCAAAAUGGACUUCGGAGUACUGGUGAAGGGGAAACUGGAAUGAGCCAGCAAUGUGCCCUCACAGCCCAGAAAGCCAACUGGAUUUUGGGCUACAUCAGAGGACGUGUGGCCACAGGUCAAGGGGAGUGAUCCUGCCCCCCCUGCCCUGGUGAGAUCUUACCUGGCAUACUGCGUCCAGAGGUGGAGUCCUCAGAGACACGGACCUGUUGGAUCACAUUCAGAAAAGGGCCACAAAAAUGAUCCAAGGGAUGGAGCACCUCCCCUACAAGGACAGGCUGAGAGAGCUGGGUGUCUUCAGCUUGGAGAAGAGAAGGCUUUUGGGAGGCCUUACAGCAGCCUUCCAGUAUUUAAAGGGGACCUACAAGAAGGAAGGGGACAGACUCUUUAGAUUCUUUUGCCUGUUGUGAUAGUUUCAUAGAAAACUGAAAUGUUAUAGGGUAUGAUAAUGUCCCAUUCAGCAGUUAUUCAAUUUUGUUUUCACAGAUAAUACACAGAUCUGCAUAUUGAUGAAAUAAUUUAACUUCCCUGAAGUUUUGAUUGUGCAGCCUGAUUUUUGUACUGCUUACAAACCUACACUAGUGCUGUACAGGGGCUGGAGAUGUUGCCUAGAGGAUGAAUGCAAGAAAUGUUUUGCAGUAUUAAUCACUUAGAAUCACCCUACACUGCAGCAUCAUUUCUCAGUGUCACUUGACAAACUAAUUUGGCACGAGUCUGGUGAUUAGAGUGAUACCUCCAUCCUGUACUCAGAAGGCAGAGAAUUAUCAUCUGUCACCUGAGUGUCUAGGAACCAAGUGAGAGCUUGGUCUUUCCUUUACGCCAGCUGGAGAUGUGUGCUCAUUAAACAAUAGUAAUUUUGUAAUCAGUACUUUUUAACCAACACUUUUGUACAGCAUCUAUGGAUCUCAUUUUCCUUCUGCUUAAUUUGCAGUUCUUGCUAUUUUGCAAUUGACUUUCUUGCCCCAGCGAUUUGCAGCCUGGCACAAGCUUUUUUAGCAAAAAACAUCGUUUUUAUUCCUCUGCUUAAAUAACCAUUGGUGAGUCUAGUUUUUGAGCCAAGCUAUGGUGGCCGGUUAACCUUCUGCAUUAUGUGUGAAGUUAGCACAGCAUGCUCAUCCUCUAGGCAUUUAGCUCCAGCGUCCUUUCUUGUCUUUUGUAACCUAUAAGGCUAUUGUGUUAAUAUGCAGACCAUUACUACUUUGCUGAUAAGACAGACUGCCGAGGAUCAAUAUGUCUCUGCAUUUGUCAGCCCCAUAUACCCCAGAGUUAAGUUCUCAGCUCUGCUGCCAGUGCUCAUGCCCUGCUGUGUAAUCGCAGGGAACUGUCGAUUUCUUAUGCAGCACGUCCGUGCACCAUGCAUGCUGGGGCGCUUUACAGAACAAGUAGGAAAGAUCCAAAUGUUGUAUUUGCUUGGCUCCCACUGCUUGAGUAAUAGUAGGUGCAGCCAGAAUAGCAGAGGACAGCUUGCUUACAGGGUCACUGCAACUCAAGAGCUAGCCAUUGAUGUUGUCAGGCAGACUUGGGAAGGAUGCCCAAAUGCUAUCAUCAACUAAAGGACACUGCAUUUUAAUGAAAGAGAAAAAAAAA
rnacentral:lncRNA from 1 species